GAUCGGCGAUUUACAUUAAUGCAAAUGGGAUAUUAUAAUUUUGGGUGUAUCUAUAAUUUUCCUUUUACCCAAUAUAUGGCACCCACUGCAGCUGGAACAAUCAGGGCGGUGGUGUAAUGACCGAGCCACGCGAAGUACAUGACCAACCUGAGAUAUGAUCCCAGCAGAAAUGCACUUUGGAAUAAUUGCUUGACCCUCGACCAUUUUAAGCCCGGAUAAACUGUGAAGAUCCUGGGGUCCCGCUCUGAGCGUGUGAAGCAGA